rnacentral:rRNA from 1 species
GACGAACGCUGGCGGCGUGCCUAAUACAUGCAAGUAGAACGCUGAAGCGAGGAGCUUGCUCUUCUUGGAUGAGUUGCGAACGGGUGAGUAACGCGUAGGUAACCUGCCUUGUAGCGGGGGAUAACUAUUGGAAACGAUAGCUAAUACCGCAUAACAAUGGAUGACACAUGUCCUUUAUUUGAAAGGGGCAAUUGCUCCACUACAAGAUGGACCUGCGUUGUAUUAGCUAGUAGGUGAGGUAAUGGCUCACCUAGGCGACGAUACAUAGCCGACCUGAGAGGGUGAUCGGCCACACUGGGACUGAGACACGGCCCAGACUCCUACGGGAGGCAGCAGUAGGGAAUCUUCGGCAAUGGGGGCAACCCUGACCGAGCAACGCCGCGUGAGUGAAGAAGGUUGUCGGAUCGUAAAGCUCUGUUGUAAGUCAAGAACGGGUGUGAGAGUGGAAAGUUCACACUGUGACGGUAGCUUACCAGAAAGGGACGGCUAACUACGUG